ACUUCAUUGCAUAAUGCGGUAGCAAGUGGAUUUGCAGCAGAAACACCCUGCUAAAGAACAAGUAUCUUGGUUCCCAGCAAAGAGGACAAAGGAGAACAGCAAGUUAUAGGGAGUUGAAUGCUGGAUUGUGUACAAUAUGGUGAUUCAAGUCUAUUCCUUACUCAGUGCUCAUCAUGGGUCAAGAGAAGAUUGCGGUGAAAAUGGGAGAGCAGAGGGAUGGACUUCAGGACCCUCCUGACGGCGUUCCAGGGGACGACUUCACUCCCAGCGGAGAGACUGCAGGCCAGGUCUCAAGGCUCGCUAGGGCCCAGAGUAACCUCUUAAUAGACCAGGUCAACUCUCCUGAUCUUUAUCGUAAUGUACUAGAGGCACCUUGCUCGUCUUGAUGUCCUGCAGAAAAUUACACCGAUCCAUCGCAUUAAUGACAUUUUGAUAAUCAGAUCUGCUUCUGGUGCCACCGUUGCUUUUUGGUAAAUCUCAUUAUGUGGUCUGAGCAUCUAAAUGAAAGAUCCUUUUCUGCCAGCAUACUGAAUAAACACUACUCCUGCUUCUGGAA